rnacentral:misc_RNA from 1 species
AGGGCAAUGGCUUCCCACAUUGUUGGUUAUCCUCGCAUGGGGCCCAAAAGAGAGCUCAAAUUUGCUUUGGAAUCUUUCUGGGAUGGCAAGAGCAGCGCUGAGGAAUUGCAGAAGGUCGCAACAGAUCUCAGGUCAUCUAUCUGGAAACAGAUGGCUGAUGCUGGAAUCAAGUUUAUUCCAAGCAACACUUUUUCAUACUAUGAUCAGGUGUUGGACGCUACAGCAAUGCUAGGUGCUGUUCCUCCCAG